rnacentral:tRNA from 1 species
GGGAAUGUGACUCAGUGGUAGAGUGCUUGCCUAGCAUGCAUGAAGCCCUGGGUUCAAUUCCUCAGUACCA